rnacentral:rRNA from 1 species
AUUGAACGCUGGCGGCAUGCCUUACACAUGCAAGUCGAACGGUAACGGGCCUUCGGGUGCCGACGAGUGGCGAACGGGUGAGUAAUACAUCGGAACGUGCCCGAUCGUGGGGGAUAACGAGGCGAAAGCUUUGCUAAUACCGCAUACGAUCUACGGAUGAAAGCAGGGGACCGCAAGGCCUUGCGCGGACGGAGCGGCCGAUGGCAGAUUAGGUAGUUGGUGGGAUAAAAGCUUACCAAGCCGACGAUCUGUAGCUGGUCUGAGAGGAUGAUCAGCCACACGGGGACUGGGACACGGCCCAGACUCCUACGGGAGGCAGCAGUGGGGAAUUUUGGACAAUGGGGGCAAGCCUGCUCCAGCCAUGCCGCGUGCAGGAUGAAGGCCUUCGGGUUGUAAACUGCUUUUGUACGGAACGAAAAGCCUUCUUUUAAUACAGGAGGGUCAUGACGGUACCGUAAGAAUAAGCACCGGCUAACUACGUG